UACGGAGGGUGCAAGCGUUAUCCGGAUUCACUGGGUUUAAAGGGAGCGCAGGCGGAUUUGUAAGUCAGUGGUGAAAGGCUUAAGCUUAACUUGGGAACUGCCAUUGAUACUAUAAGUCUUGAAUGUUGUUGAGGUUUGCGGAAUGGGUCAUGUAGCGGUGAAAUGCAUAGGUAUGACCCGGAACACCUAUUGCGAAGGCAGCAGGCUAAACAAAUAUUGACGCUGAGGCUCGAAAGCGUGGGGAGCAAACAGG
rnacentral:rRNA from 1 species